rnacentral:rRNA from 1 species
UACAGAGGGUGCAAGCGUUAAUCGGAUUUACUGGGCGUAAAGCGUGAGUAGGUGGCUCGCUAAGUCGGUUGUGAAAGCCCUGGGCUCAACCUGGGAAUUGCAGUCGAUACUGGCAAGCUCGAGUUCGGUAGAGGGUGACGGAAUUCCCGGUGUAGCGGUGAAAUGCGUAGAUAUCGGGAGGAACAUCGAUGGCGAAGGCAAUCACCUGGGCCUGAACUGACACUGAGACACGAAAGCGUGGGUAGCAAACAGGAUUAGAAACCCCCGUAGUCC